GUAGUCCACGCUGUAAACGAUGUCGAUUUGGAGGUUGUGCCCUUGAGGCGUGGCUUCCGGAGCUAACGCGUUAAAUCGACCGCCUGGGGAGUACGGCCGCAAGGUUAAAACUCAAAUGAAUUGACGGGGGCCCGCACAAGCGGUGGAGCAUGUGGUUUAAUUCGAUGCAACGCGAAGAACCUUACCUACUCUUGACAUCCAGAGAACUUAGCAGAGAUGCUUUGGUGCCUUCGGGAACUCUGAGACAGGUGCUGCAUGGCUGUCGUCAGCUCGUGUUGUGAAAUGUUGGGUUAAGUCCCGCAACGAGCGCAACCCUUAUCCUUUGUUGCCAGCGGUUCGGCCGGGAACUCAAAGGAGACUGCCAGUGAUAAACUGGAGGAAGGUGGGGAUGACGUCAAGUCAUCAUGGCCCUUACGAGUAGGGCUACACACGUGCUACAAUGGCAUAUACAAAGAGAAGCGACCUCGCGAGAGCAAGCGGACCUCAUAAAGUAUGUCGUAGUCCGGAUUGGAGUCUGCAACUCGACUCCAUGAAGUCGGAAUCGCUAGUAAUCGUAGAUCAGAAUGCUACGGUGAAUACGUUCCCGGGCCUUGUACACACCGCCCGUCACACCAUGGGGAGUGGGUUGCAAAAGAAGUAGGUAGCUUAACCUUCGGGAGGGCGCUUACCACUUUGUGAU
rnacentral:rRNA from 1 species